GCCGCCUGCGGGAGGGAGACGGGCCUCUGGGCAGCUAACCGUGAACGCAAGCCGUCCCCACCCUUAAGUGCUCCCGUCCUCACUGAGGACACCUCAUGCUCCCCACCCUUACCUUGCAAAGCGAUUUCACUCCCCUCCUUGCCCUGGAUUCCUCCUGAGGUCAGUGGGGUGGAAAUUAUACGCUCCAUUUUACCCAUGAUGAGCCUGAGGCCCAGCAGGGACUUGGCCAAGGUCACACAGCUGGGAAGUGAGAGACUGAGCCCAAGUCCACAGGCCAUCUGGCCAGGGCUCAUCCAGGCUCCCAGCCACCCCCAAGGGAGAGGGGCCGGCACUGUCUUCGAAGCAAAUGGGCAUCUGCUUGCACAGCUCCUCCUCUGCCUGCGCUGACACCCCUGAACUCUCUCACACUGCGUCUGCGAGCGAGAAACGGGGGCUGGGGGCCGUGGCUUAGGGCAAGACCUCGCUCUGGGCUCUGGGCUCAGUUUUCUCUGCACCGUGGCAGGGUUUAGACAAGUUUGUCACCAUUCUCUGUGGCUCUUGUAAGCACACAGCUUAGAAAAUGGGGUGGAGGAACAACAGAAUUAUUAUGUUGCAAAGGAAAGAACACUUCCUGAAAAGAUCAGGGUUCCCCGGGGGAGGCACACAUCCAUGUACAAAAACCCGAUUUGUGUGCUUGUCUGAUACACGUCUGCUCGUCAAGCCCAAUAUCGGGGCAGCAAGAGGGACCUUCUGGCCACACCACACGGGGCCAGGAAUCCUGUGAAGCACAGGAGAGAGGUCUUGGGGUGUGGUGGCAGCACCCACACACAAGAGAGGGAGGGGAGAAGCAGACAAGGCUCCAAGACCUCAAGCAAACAUGCAGGCACCCCUUGGAAAAACACUGCCUUACUGGGCCAGGACCCUUGGCUCUGUGCCAGGGAAGGAACCCUCCUCCACUUGCAAAAAAUAGAUGAACUUGAAAACCCAUGGCCAGGGACAGAAGUUAUUGCAAAACGGAGUCUUCAGCGUUCAAGAGAAUUGAGAGGAAGUCCAUGUCUUGGAGCCCCGAGCAGAAAGGAAGCCUGUGACUGGAUUUCAGCCCUGUCCAACAUCUGGGAGGAAAAGGAAGGCACACAGCUUCCCUACCACAGGGCAACCUCUCUUGAGCCCGCCCCUGCUGGGCAGGGCAGAGCCUUUACAGCUCAGAGAGAGCAAAAGUCACAGGAUGUUAGGGCUGAGAGCCCCGUGGAAAACAUCUGCUCUCAAAUAGAAAAUAAAAAAGGUGUGUGUGAAACACUCCGCCUACUGACAUCUGUCUCUUGGAGUUCCGAACCUCAGGCUUCCUGCCUUAUUGAAAAAAUAAACACACAAACCAUGAACUUGAGGUCUGGCAAGGAUUCCUUUAAAAUACCCCUGACUUCUUAAGAGCCGUGGUUUUCUCCUCUUCAAAAUUGGAGACGGUAAGACUGAGCCUCAAAGAGGAGGUGAUCAGAACCCUGUUGAGUCCUUGGUGGCCCGGCUGCAGGGCAGGGACCCUCUGGUCUCUUCGCGGUGCUCCACUCAACCUUGACCUAGCCCUUCUCCCAGGAUGAAAGGUGAUGAGAUGUGGAAAGGGCUACCCUGCCACCAGCUGCCUCCAGUAGAUACUUAAUGUCUGCGGCACUGGCGAUCGUAUUUAUUUGUGUUAUCCGUCUCACUAGGUGGGGCUUUUGGACAAAGACGCUGGCACACUUUCUCUACAGUCCGGCCAUUCGAGCACUUGGAGACAGGGUAGAGGGUGGCUAAGUGGCUGUCCAAGUUGGAAUUCUAG